rnacentral:lncRNA from 1 species
CAUAAAAUGUCUACCCUAAUCUAAGGUGGCAGCACAUCGCAUCUUCCCUAAGCAUGGACUAUCUUAUAUUUACCUAGUGAUCAUGAAGAACAGUUCUACGAACAUCAUACUUAAAAUCACAGAAAUUAAAUAUGAUUCAAAAGAAGAUAUCCAUUAAAAACAAUAAGUUCAUACAACCCCAAGAAUAUAAAAUCAAAUAUAAAACCCGUGUCCCUUUGUUAGGGCUGCAUCCAGCCCUAGAGAGAAGAUCAGCCUUUCAUGGAGUUGUGGGCGACAGCAGCAGCACAGCAGCGGGCUCCCGUCACGACCAGCUCUUCUUUCUUUCUUCCUCUAGCGACUUCCAUUGAAGAAACUCCCUCUUAGCACUUCAUUUUUUUAUAUAGGGGAAAUCAUUCCCAAAAUGACUAGUAGUCUUCUCUCUCUCCUUUUAUUCUUGUGGAACUCCCCAGAAGAGAUGCCCAUUGAUCAAAGAAGUCUCUCUUUAUAUAGGCUCGGUAGCUCCCCUGUUUCAUCAUAUGGAUAAGGUCUUCCGAGUGGGAAGAUAAAGAUGCAGAGGCUUGAGCUGAUCCGCACGUUGGGAAGGAGAUGAGCUGGGAGUCGAUUGCGUUGAAGAUGGGAUGAAGCUUGGGACUUGAGUUUAUCCCGUGGAUGAAGGGGAGAUGAGGAGGAUUCGGAAGAGGGAAUGACGAACCGUGAGCAGGGAUUCUUAUGUUUUAAUCUAGAUUUGGUUCUGGAUGAUUGUCAUAGAACAGGGGAGAGAUGCGGGGGAUUUGAUGAUGGUGGAGUUCGGGAGGAUGAAGCAGCUAGGAGCAGAGGAUGCUGUUCACGGUUGAAAAGAUAAUCUUUGUAAUCAAACGGGAAGAAGGCCGUGGACGUGGAGGGAAUUUGGACGCGAAACUUCACGCGAAACANN